rnacentral:rRNA from 1 species
GGGGAAGGGCGGCUGCUAUACAUGCAGUCGAGCGGACAGAUGGGAGCUUGCUCCCUGAUGUCAGCGGCGGACGGGUGAGUAACACGUGGGUAACCUGCCUGUAAGACUGGGAUAACUCCGGGAAACCGGGGCUAAUACCGGAUGCUUGAUUGAACCGCAGGGUUCAAUUAUAAAAGGUGGCUUUUACCUACCACUUACAAAUGGACCCCCGGCCCAUUACCUAUUUGGUGAGGUAACGGCUCACCAGGGCAACAAUCCGUACCCAACCUAAAAGGGUGAUCGGCCACCCGGGAACGGAAACCCGGCCCAAACCCCAACGGAAGGCACCAUUAGGGAACCUCCCCCAUGGAACAAAAUUCUAACGAACCACCCCCCCGGGAUUAAUAAAGGUUUUCGAAUCGAAAAACUCUUUUGUUAGGGAAAAACAAUUACCGUUCAAAUAGGGCGGUACCUUGACGGUCCCUAACCAAAAACCCACGGCAAAUUACUUGCCACCACCCCCGGUAAUACUUAGGUGGCAACCGUUGUCCGGAAUUAUGGGGCGUAAACCCCGCCCAGGCGGUUUCUUAAUUCUAAUGUGAAACCCCCCGGCUCACCCGGGAAGGGUCAUUGAAAACGGGGAAACUUGAUUGCAAAAAAGAAAAUUGAAAUUCCACUUGUACCGUUAAAAUGCGUAAAGAUUUGAAGAAACCCAUUGGCAAAGGCAACUCUCUGGUCUGUAACUAACCCUAAGGCGCGAAACCUUGGGAAGCAAAAGGAUAAAUACCCGGGUAUUCCCCCCUUAACAAUAAUGGCUAAUUGUUAAAGGUUUCCCCCCUUUAGUGCUGCAGCAAACCAUUAGCCCUCCCCCGGGGAGUACGGUCCCAAAACGAAACUCAAAGGAUUGACGGGGGCCGCCCAACAGUGAACAAGGGUUUAUUCGAACCACCCAAAAAACUUACAAGUCUUGACUCCCCUACAACCCUAAAAUAGGGCUCCCCUUCGGGGCGAAAUGAAGGUGGUCAGGGUUGCCUCAGCCCGUCCUUAAAGUUGGGUUAGUCCCCCACCAACCAACCUUUGACUUAAUUGCACAAUCAUUUGGCACUUAGGUGCUGCAGUUACAACCGAAGAAGUAGGAAUACCUCCAAUCCAAUGCCUUAAAACG